rnacentral:lncRNA from 1 species
UUAAUUAAUUAAUUAAUUAAUUAUAUAUUUUUUGUAAUCUUAAAUAAUAUGACUAAAUAAUAUAACUGUACGAACCAAACACUCAAAUACUACAUUCUUAGUAAUAUGAUGAAUAGGAAUAAGAUUCUCGGAUAUCUUUUUACUCCUAAUAAUCUUUCAUUGUGCGAACCAAACACGCCCUUAAUGUAAUUUAACUCUUUAACUAGGAGAAACACAAUA